ensembl:lncRNA
CCUCAGGUCAUCAGGCAUCAGAUCCCGGAGGGUGGGGACCCCUGCCUUCAAGUACAGGGAGAGGAUUUCUCUAAAGAUUUCCCCCAAAGUUAUGAAGUCCUGGGCUUGCCUGAUCCUUAAACUUCAUUUAUACAGGAAGGAGCUCCUGGUUCAAGGUGCAAGAGGCCCUCGUGGAGAGUCCGGUGAAGGAGCCAUUCAUUCUGACUGGGGCUUCUGGGAAUGUCGUGGAGGAGGUGCUCCUUGAGGGAGUGGUCCUAUGAACGAAGGGGGAGAAAGGUCAUGCUGUGUCGAGGGAGCAGCACCAGUGACAAAAUGGGUGACCUUGGACAAUAAUGACUAUCACGACACACAUCUUACUGGGUUAUUCUGGAUCACACGAGAACCUCCUCAUGCAACAGGAUGUGAAAAUGGAAGCUUCUAUUCAGUCCUCAAGCCACGAUACAUGUCAUAUUCCGACACCAAAUCAUCACACAGACAGUUUACAAAGAAAAUGUCCCUAAACUGAUUCAAGAUCUCUUGAACUUCUCACCAGCUUUAAGAUAAUAAAAAGAAUCAAGAGGUGGAGAGGACCGAGAAUAU